GAGUUUGAUCCUGGCUCAGGAUUAACGCUGGCGGUAGGCAUAACACAUGCAAGUCGAGCGAGGAUAGUUUUCGGAUUGUUCUAGCGGCAAACGGCUAAGUAACACGUUGGUACUUGCCCCGAAGUGAGGGAUAACUGCGAGAAAUCGUAGCUAAUACCGCAUGUGUCCCGACUUGUCGGGAUAAAGCAGCAAUGCGCUUCGGGAGAGGCCUGCGUCCCAUCAGCUUGUUGGUGAGGUAAAAGCUCACCAAGGCUAUGACGGGUACCUGGUGUGAGAGCACGACCAGGCAGAAUGGGACUGAGACACGGCCCAUACUCCUACGGGAGGCAGCAGAGAGGAAUUUUCCGCAAUGGGCGAAAGCCUGACGGAGCCAUACCGCGUGCAGGAUGACGUCUUUCGGGAUGUAAACUGCUUUUCUGGGGAAAGAAGUUCUGACGGUACCCCAGGAAUAAGGACCGGCUAACUACGUGCCAGCAGCUGCGGUAAUACGUAGGGUUCAAGCGCUAUCCGGAAUUACUGGGCGUAAAGCGAUCAUAGGCGGGAGAGAAAGUUCAACUUGAAAUACAUUGGCUCAACUAAUGUGCUUUGUGGAAUACUUCUUUCCACGAGGAAGACAGAGGCAGAUGGAAUUCCUGUUGUAGGGGUUAAAUCCGUAGAUAACAGGAGGAACACCAAAAGCGAAGGCAAUCUGCUGGGUCUUUCCUGACGCUGCUUAGAUCGAAAGCGUGGGGAGCGAAAAGGAUUAGAUACCCUUGUAGUCCACGCCCUAAACGAUGAAUGCUCGGUGUUAGACGGUCUAAUCCCGUUUAGUGCCCAAGUUAACACGUUAAGCAUUCCGCCUGAAGAGUACGGUCGCAAGAUUAAAACUCAAAGGAAUAGACGGGGAUCCACACAAGCGGUGGAGCGUCUGGUUUAAUUCGACAGCAAGCGAGGAACCUCACCAGGGUUUGACAUCCUUGGAAUCCCGACGAAAGUUGGGAGUGCCCUCGGGAACCAAGUGACAGGUGUUGCAUGGUCGUCGUCAGCUCGUGCCUUGAGGUGUUCGGUUAAGUCCGCGAACGAGCGCAACCCUCGUCGUAUGUUGUAUGUUUCAUGCGAGACUGCCCUGUUUAACGGGGAGGAAGGUGAGGAUGACGUCGGAUCAGCAUGGCCCUUAUACCCUGGGCGACACAGGCGCUACAAUGGUCGGUACAGAGGGUCGCGAAGCGGCAACGUGUAGCUAAUCCCAUAAAACCGAUCUCAAUUCGGAUUGGAGUCUGCAACUCGACUCCAUGAAGUCGGAAUCGCUAGUAACCGUGAACCAGCCACGUCACGGUGAAUAUGUUCCUGGAUCUUGUACUCACCGCCCGUCAAGUCAUGAAAGGCAGAGACGCCCAAAGUCGCGUUAUCCUUUCGGGGAGCGUGCCUAAGGUGGAGCUGCUGAUUGGGACUAAGUCGUAACAAGGUA
rnacentral:rRNA from 1 species